CAGCAGCCACGGUAAUACAGAGGGUGCGAGCGUUAAUCGGAUUUACUGGGCGUAAAGCGUGCGUAGGCGGCUUUUUAAGUCGGAUGUGAAAUCCCUGAGCUUAACUUAGGAAUUGCAUUCGAUACUGGGAAGCUAGAGUAUGGGAGAGGAUGGUAGAAUUCCAGGUGUAGCGGUGAAAUGCGUAGAGAUCUGGAGGAAUACCGAUGGCGAAGGCAGCCAUUUGGCCUAAUACUGACGCUGAGGUACGAAAGCAUGGGGAGCAAACAGGAUUAGAUACCCCCGUAGUCCCUGUCUCUUAUAC
rnacentral:rRNA from 1 species